GGGUGAGUAACACGUGGAUAACCUACCUAUAAGACUGGGAUAACUUCGGGAAACCGGAGCUAAUACCGGAUAAUACAUUGAACCGCAUGGUUCAAUAGUGAAAGACGGUUUUGCUGUCACUUAUAGAUGGAUCCGCGCCGCAUUAGCUAGUUGGUAAGGUAACGGCUUACCAAGGCAACGAUGCGUAGCCGACCUGAGAGGGUGAUCGGCCACACUGGAACUGAGACACGGUCCAG
rnacentral:rRNA from 1 species